UACAGAGGGUGCAAGCGUUAAUCGGAAUUACUGGGCGUAAAGCGUGCGUAGACGGUUAUGUAAGUCGGGUGUGAAAGCCCCGGGCUCAACCUGGGAAUGCCAUUCGAGACUGCAUAGCUAGGGUGCGGAAGAGGGAAGCGGAAUUUCCGGUGUAGCGGUGAAAGUGCGUAGAUAUCGGAAGGAACACCAGUGGCGAAAAGCGGCUUCCUGGUCCAGCACC
rnacentral:rRNA from 1 species